rnacentral:tRNA from 1 species
GCCAACGUAGCUCAGAUGGCCAGAGCAGCUGAUUCGUAAUCAGCAGGUCACCGGUUCGACUCCGGUCGUUGGCU